rnacentral:rRNA from 1 species
UACCAAGAGAUCAAAUCGUAUAGAUUGGUUAAAAGGUAGUUAUAUAAAGGUGAGAGUUUGUUGAUUGCUUAUCAAAAGGUAAAAUUUAUAGAUAAGUGAGAUAAAUCAAAGAUGGCUUGAUGAUAUUGAAGCUGCGAUAUCCUCGAGGGAAACUGGGAUUGGAUACCCCACUAUUCUUGGAUGUAAAAAGAGAUUACCAGAGUACUAUGAGCAAUUUAUAGCUUAAAACUCAAAGGGCUUGGCGGUGUUUUAGAUCACUCAGGGGAACCUGUUUCGUAAUCGACAGUCCACGUUAAACCUGACCUUCUUUUGUUUUCAGCUUGUAUACCGUUGUCGCCAGGUAACUUUUAAAAACAAAAAAGCUAGCGAAUAAACAGUUUGAGUUUAGACGUCAAAUCAGGGUGCAGUCUAUAAGAAGGAGAGAAUGGGUUACAAUUAUAAAUUUAUAAUACGGAAGAUCAAUUUAAAAAUUGGUUUUAAAGGAGGACUUGAAAGUAACUUUAAGUAUAUAAAUAACUUGAAUCAGACUCUGAAACGUGC